rnacentral:lncRNA from 1 species
CAUGUAGUAUAAAUGAUGCAGCCUCCUAGUGGAAGUUGCUGGGAUGGAGGCUGAGUGCUUUUAAGCGACACUCAAGAUAGAUCAGAAUGUCAAGGCCUAAAUGUUUUGUGGGAAACCUGAUCAGCACUAUCUGAUCAAUGGUAUAUAGAAAAUUGUAUUAGGAAAUUAGAGGCUUAGAAACCACUGCUCUGCUAUAAUACUCAGAAGAAUCAGUCCUCUGAGUCCAGGUUAAAUUGAAAGACAAUUUAAUUGAAUUAGUAGUACUUUUGUCUUUCGUAAAGAGACUAACCCGGGGUCUGUGGCUUAAAUUGUUUGCGAGCUAUUGCGCUUUGAAUAUCUGAAUGGCUGUCAAAUAUCGAAUGUCAAACUAACUUUACCACUGUAGAAUUAACAGGUGAAUAUAAUGAAACAACUAUUGAUAACUGUUUAAACUUUUUAAAAAAUUAUAUUUUCAGUGACAUCACAUUUCAAUUACGUGUGUGUGUUAGUCUCCUGACUUAAGCCCACAAUUGUUUUGUUUGUUUUUGAUUACCAUAUAUCCGUAUUAGUGUGAUAUUAAGGGACCCCAACUUUAAACUAUCGUUUGUGUUGCACUUUUAUUUUGAAACAAAAAAUGGGUAAGGAAGUCAGCACUUCACGUACAAGAGACGUUGUAGAAGCAACAAGAAUUAGAUUUGUGUCCUGUAAUGUCCUCAAAGGGGCAGUUAAUCAACGCUUUCUUAAAAUAAAUAAGGCGACAAAAAUUGAUAGGUAGUACUAGGUUAGGAGCACGUGUCAAUGGAUAACGACGCAUUUCAAUCGCAAACAACGUCAAGAAACAAGAAACAUCACAAAAAUAUUUUCUCUUUUUGAUCUCAAUUCAAAAUGGUAGUGGGGUUAAAAGGUACAGCUGGUCUCCAUCAUGCACUUGUUGAUCAAGGAAACGGUUCGAAAAUUAUGCAGGUUAUUUGCAGAGUGUACUGCAAUGCUACAAAAUGAAAACAAGACCCUGAAGAGUAAGCUGACAUUGAUGGUGACAUCGUUGGACUUAGGCAGUUCUUUGUCCCCACCCAGUGUAAUGAUAUAUGGGGAGACCUCAGCAUCAUCAGUGGAAGAACACAGCAAGCCGGAGGAUGGAUCAAGCAGCUGUUCCAUCAAGUGUGAGGAGAUCUCUGGAAACAAUGCUACAUCAGGUAAACUCUUUCUUAUCUAAGUGAUUCUGCUCAGUAG